rnacentral:snRNA from 1 species
GUGAUUACUUUGGCAGCACAUAUACUAAAAUUGAAAUGAUACAGAGAAGAUUAGCCUGGCCCCUGUGCAAGGAUGACACUCAAAUUCAGGAAGCAUUCUAUACUUUU